ACGAAAACAGAGCGAGAAGUUGGAGCUGCAGACACAGAAGAGGGAGUGGAGAGAAACCACCGAGCUCUAGCGUGGGCUUUCCUCCACAGCUGUCCUCUGCUCCCAGUCUGUCCAGAGAGACACCAGGGAAAGUGGUGAUGUGGCUCUCCACCCAGGGCGGCAGUGGUCCGAGGGGCGCCUCAAAGAAUAGGAGAAAGUUGAAGGUAAAAACUCGCCGGAUUCGAAGUCAAUCUAAAUUUCCGACAGCUUGGACUGAAAACCUGCCAGCAGAAGGUUCAAAGGUGAGUUUCUCUGCCCACAUCAGUGAGCCUGAAUCCGUCUGGCCUCCGUUGCUUUGUGGUUCAAAACCAGAAAAGUGACAGAACUGGAACGACAGAAAGGGAAAAUGUCAUCAGUGUUGGAGGAUGUUUGGUCUGUCGGCGGCUAACAGCUUGAUUUAGCUGCCUGACUCCGUUGAUGUUGUUUUUAUUUCCCCUUAAAGAGCUUCCUCCUUCCCGUUCUCUUUGGUUCACUCAUCCACGACUGCAGCGAUUGGCUUACUCUAGAAAACGUUGAUUAGCAAACCAAACCACGGCCGUGAUAAUCAAUCAUCAUUUUAAAUCAUUGUGCUGUAAGUUGUUUGUUUUGCUUUCCCUCCAUCAUCUUCCUCUUUUUUCUUUUCAGCCCAUGUUUGACGUGAUGAUUGAAACCACCUGAAAACCGGCGAACGAGUCCACCGGAUACGAGAAGACAAGGUCGAAACGACGACACGCCGAGCGCCUCUGUAACGUGGAAAACAAAUAUCUGUUGUCAUCUUGACUCUGUAAAGAAAGGCAUGAGUUUUUGUGUGUCUAAAUAAAAAAAAAGUAGGAUUAUUACAGUCUGUUCUUUUUUUCUUUUUCUUUUUACUGGAUCUGGAUAAUUAAAAGCCAAGUUUCAGCAACUGCAAAGUUUCCAAUGUGCAGUAACUCAGAGCAGCGGGAAGCUCCUCCCAUAUGGUGCUCCCAGCAGGAUAAAACAAACACAACUUCUGUUUGGCAGUAAUUCUGUGCAUCACAUCCCACACGCUGUACAGCAGUUUCAUCUGAGUUCAACGUAAAAUACAGCAGCAGGCAAAAUCUCCCCUCUAAAGACGUGGAUUUUGACUAGGUUGAUCCUGAGAAGUAUCGGCAAAAAACAUUCUACUGAGCAGCAACGUUGAAAGACACCUGAAGGCGUUCUCCUCACUUUUCACACAAUGAGUUUGUAGAAUCAUUUUAAUGCUAGGGCAUAAAAAAAAUGUCUCUUUGGGUGCAGAAAUAAUACUCUUACACAUUUCUGUCUUUAAAAUGAUCUAUUUCGGUCCAGACUCUUCUGAUUUUCAUUUUCUUAUUUGCUUUUGCUCUAAAACCACAGAUGAUGUCGUUCAUCGAUGCAUUUAAAGUGUUGCAUUUGAUCAAAUUCAGUCUGAUUAAAGCGGCUUAAAAAAGUUCGUUUUAAAAUCUCUUAAAUCUGAAUCGUAAGCAGAUUUUUUUUUCACUGCCUCAAGCAACGCAGGGCGAAAAUCAAGUAAACAUUUGUUACAAAAACGUAACAUAAAUGUUUAGCACUGCCGUCAAAAACACGAGUUCUCCCCUGAUCCUCUCUGACUGAUAAUCAUUUUGUCAAACACUGAAAAAUCGGAUUAUUUUCUUAUUUGUCUGUUUGUUGAAGGCGUUUAAGCGGAAAAGUGUAAUUUUGUUUGGCGUAUAAAGUUAUGCUCCACGUUUGUUACAGUGUAAUUGUUAAAUAAACAAAUAUAUUUUUCAUAAUUCCUAGAAAGCAAAUCUAAAUCAGCAAGUCAAGCUACAUGUAAAUAAAUUGGUACCAGAGGAUGAAAUCUAAAUAUUUAACUUGGUGAAGUGUGCAUCUUAACAGAGAACAUCUUAAUAAGCUCUUAUCCAUUUUAUUAUUAAAACAAACUAGGUUAAAUUUAUGAAUCUGUUGGUAAUCCUUUUGUUCUAACAUUUUUUUAAUCAGUCCUCUGGAUCAGGUGGUUAAAAUGAUUUCAAUAAACCUGAUUAUUUCAUCUCAGCUCUAAAAUUCCUCUUUUUAACAUGAAAAAAUUCACAUUUCACAAUAAAAAAAAACAAACAGUCCUUUGGUUAAAAAUUAAUGCAGACACGCAUUAAAACGUGGCACCAAAUGACAAAGAAAAGUCUUUUUCAAAAGCUUCAGGGAUGAAAGUCAGAACAUUUUUCAUGUAGGCAAAUAUUUAUCUUCAGAUGUUUGUUUUGUUUUUUUUGCAGACUAACACAAAGUUAAAUCCAG